rnacentral:rRNA from 1 species
UAGGGAAUAUUGGGCAAUGGAGGGAACUCUGACCCAGCCAUGCCGCGUGCAGGAUGAAGGCGUUAUGCGUUGUAAACUGCUUUUAUAUAGGAAGAAAUAGUCCUUGCGAGGAAAGUUGACGGUACUAUAUGAAUAAGCACCGGCUAACUCCGUGCCAGCAGCCGCGGUAAUACGGAGGGUGCAAGCGUUGUCCGGAUUUAUUGGGUUUAAAGGGUGCGUAGGCGGUUUAUUAAGUCAGUGGUGAAAGACGGUCGCUCAACGAUUGCAGUGCCAUUGAUACUGGUAGACUUGAGUAUGAUUGAGGUAGCUGGAAUGGAUAGUGUAGCGGUGAAAUGCAUAGAUAUUAUCCAGAACACCAAUUGCGUAGGCAAGUUACUAAGUCAUAACUGACGCUGAGGCACGAAAGUGUGGGUAUCAAACAGGAUUAGAUACCCCUGUAGUCCCUGAGCGGGCUGGCAAGGCGCAU